AUUUGAUUUCCUCCUCUUUCACAUUUGACAAACUAGAAGCGACAUCAGUGACAUUACUUCUGCAGAGAUCAAAAUCUGCUUCAACGAAAACUCUAAGCAAGAACUACAAUGUUAUUAUGGUAAUUUACUACUGUUGGCCACCAGUUCUGUUAAUUCUUAUCCUUUGAACAACACCUUCAGUCAAAUUCACGGUGUUUCCCACAAAGAC
rnacentral:lncRNA from 1 species